rnacentral:rRNA from 1 species
CCCUUAGAUGUUCUGGGCUGCACGCGCGCUACAAUGGCGUUUUCAAAAAGAUUGCUAAUCCGAAAGGACCAGCGGAUCUUCGAAGUGGCGUCGUGAUCGGGACAGUUGAUUGCAAUUAUUCGACUCGAACGAGGAAUUCCUUGUAAUCGUGCGUCAUCAGCGCACGCUGAAUACGUCCCUGUUCUUUGUACACACCGCCCGUCGCACCUACCGAUUGGAUGGUCCGGUGAAGCCUCGGGAUUGUGGUUCUUGCCGCUUUAUUGUGGCGUGACCGCGAGAACUUGUCUAAACCUUAUCAUCUAGAGGAAGGUGAAGUCGUAACA